rnacentral:rRNA from 1 species
CAUAGGUUAAUGAGGCGAACCGGGGGAACUGAAACAUCUAAGUACCCCGAGGAAAAGAAAUCAACCGAGAUUCCCCCAGUAGCGGCGAGCGAACGGGGAGCAGCCCAGAGCCUGAAUCAGUGUGUGUGUUAGUGGAAGCGUCUGGAAAGGCGCGCGAUACAGGGUGACAGCCCCGUACACAAAAAUGCACAUACUGUGAGCUCGAUGAGUAGGGCGGGACACGUGGUAUCCUGUCUGAAUAUGGGGGGACCAUCCUCCAAGGCUAAAUACUCCUGACUGACCGAUAGUGAACCAGUACCGUGAGGGAAAGGCGAAAAGAACCCCGGCGAGGGGAGUGAAAAAGAACCUGAAACCGUGUACGUACAAGCAGUGGGAGCCUCUUUAUGGGGUGACUGCGUACCUUUUGUAUAAUGGGUCAGCGACUUAUAUUCUGUAGCAAGGUUAACCGAAUAGGGGAGCCGAAGGGAAACCGAGUCUUAACUGGGCGUUAAGUUGCAGGGUAUAGACCCGAAACCCGGUGAUCUAGCCAUGGGCAGGUUGAAGGUUGGGUAACACUAACUGGAGGACCGAACCGACUAAUGUUGAAAAAUUAGCGGAUGACUUGUGGCUGGGGGUGAAAGGCCAAUCAAACCGGGAGAUAGCUGGUUCUCCCCGAAAGCUAUUUAGGUAGCGCCUCGUGAAUUCAUCUCCGGGGGUAGAGCACUGUUUCGGCAAGGGGGUCAUCCCGACUUACCAACCCGAUGCAAACUGCGAAUACCGGAGAAUGUUAUCACGGGAGACACACGGCGGGUGCUAACGUCCGUCGUGAAGAGGGAAACAACCCAGACCGCCAGCUAAGGUCCCAAAGUCAUGGUUAAGUGGGAAACGAUGUGGGAAGGCCCAGACAGCCAGGAUGUUGGCUUAGAAGCAGCCAUCAUUUAAAGAAAGCGUAAUAGCUCACUGGUCGAGUCGGCCUGCGCGGAAGAUGUAACGGGGCUAAACCAUGCACCGAAGCUGCGGCAGCGACACUAUGUGUUGUUGGGUAGGGGAGCGUUCUGUAAGCCUGCGAAGGUGUACUGUGAGGUAUGCUGGAGGUAUCAGAAGUGCGAAUGCUGACAU